AGUGAACGCUGGCGGUAGGCCUAACGCAUGCAAGUCGAACGGCAGCACAGUAAGAGCUUGCUCUUACGGGUGGCGAGUGGCGGACGGGUGAGGAAUACAUCGGAAUCUACUUUUUCGUGGGGGAUAACGUAGGGAAACUUACGCUAAUACCGCAUACGACCUACGGGUGAAAGCAGGGGAUCUUCGGACCUUGCGCGAUUGAAUGAGCCGAUGUCGGAUUAGCUAGUUGGCGGGGUAAAGGCCCACCAAGGCGACGAUCCGUAGCUGGUCUGAGAGGAUGAUCAGCCACACUGGAACUGAGACACGGUCCAGACUCCUACGGGAGGCAGCAGUGGGGAAUAUUGGACAAUGGGCGAAAGCCUGAUCCAGCCAUACCGCGUGGGUGAAGAAGGCCUUCGGGUUGUAAAGCCCUUUUGUUGGGAAAGAAAAGCAGCAGGUUAAUACCCCGCUGUUCUGACGGUACCCAAAGAAUAAGCACCGGCUAACUUCGUG
rnacentral:rRNA from 1 species